rnacentral:rRNA from 1 species
AGGACGAACGCUGGCGGCGUGCUUAACACAUGCAAGUCGAGCGGUAAGGCCUUUCGGGGUACGACGAGCGGCGAACGGGUGAGUAACACGUGGGUGAUCUGCCCUGCACUCUGGGAUAAGCCUGGGAAACUGGGUCUAAUACCGGAUAUGACCUGCUCUCGCAUGGGGGU